rnacentral:rRNA from 1 species
AUUGAACGCUGGCGGCAGGCUUAACACAUGCAAGUCGAGCGGAGAGAAGUAGCUUGCUACUGAUCUUAGCGGCGGACGGGUGAGUAAUGCUUAGGAAUCUGCCUAUUAGUGGGGGACAACAUUUCGAAAGGAAUGCUAAUACCGCAUACGCCCUACGGGGGAAAGCAGGGGAUCUUCGGACCUUGCGCUAAUAGACGAGCCUAAGUCGGAUUAGCUAGUUGGUGGGGUAAAGGCCUACCAAGGCGACGAACUGUAGCGGGUCUGAGAGGAUGAUCCGCCACACUGGGACUGAGACACGGCCCAGACUCCUACGGGAGGCAGCAGUGGGGAAUAUUGGACAAUGGGCGGAAGCCUGAUCCAGCCAUGCCGCGUGUGUGAAGAAGGCCUUUUGGUUGUAAAGCACUUUAAGCGAGGAGGAGGCUACCUGGAUUAAUACUCUAGGAUAGUGGACGUUACUCGCAGAAUAAGCACCGGCUAACUCUGUGCCAGCCGCCGCAGUAACAC